rnacentral:rRNA from 1 species
AUUGAACGCUGGCGGCAGGCCUAACACAUGCAAGUCGAACGAGUGGCGGACGGGUGAGUAAUGUCUGGGAAACUGACUGGUGGAGGGGGCUAACUACUGGAAACGGUAGCUAAUACCGUAUACCAUGGGUUGGGCCAAGAUGGGAUUGGCUAGUGGGUGGGGUAAAGGCUCACCUAGUCGACGAUCCCUAGCUGGUCUGAGAGGAUGACCAGCCACACUGGAACUGCGACACGGUCCAGACUCCUACGGGAGGCAGCAGUGGGGAAUAUUGCACAAUGGGCGAAAGCCUGAUGCAGCCAUGCCGCGUGUAUGAAGAAGGCCUUCGGGUUGUAAAGUACUUUCAGCGGGGAGGCGUUACCCGCAGAAGAAGCACCGGCUAACUCCGUGCCAGCAGCCGCGGUAAUUC